AUGCUCCGAGCGCGGCGCCCCCGACGCGGCGCUCGGCUCGGCUCGGGCAUUUCCGCCUCUUUGUUUUAAACUCCGGACGGGCUUUUUUCUCCUCCUCUUGGGGGGGACCCACAGGGAGCGGCGCCCCCUCCCCCCUCCGGCGCGGACCCCGCGUGCGCCUUGCUCGCCCGCAGCCCCGAGACCGCAGGCGUCACAAUGUAGCAGGGACCCCAGGCGUCGUGCUCAGAAAAUGGAAAAAGAGCCAGGGCCGGAAGGAGGGUGCAGAAGCGAGUCCCCGUGCGGAGCCAGGAGGCAGCGUCGCGUGGGAGUGCUGGCCUGAAGCCUCCAUGCCCCGGCAGAGGGACGGACACGCGGACGUCUAGCGGAGAAGCCAAAGAUGUUGACCAGGAAGAUCAAGCUGUGGGACAUCAACGCCCACAUCACCUGCCGCCUGUGCAGCGGGUACCUCAUCGACGCCACCACGGUGACCGAGUGUCUGCACACCUAAGCUGAGAGCCACAAGGAGGACAGCAGUGAGCAUCUGCACAGAAACGAGCUC
rnacentral:sRNA from 1 species